UUAGGUCCGUUUUACGACAGCGCCAAAAGUGCCAAGUAAACGUUGGGUCUCGCUUGACUGUCGUCUUGCAGAUACGGUCCACAUCCGUACUAGGGACUUCAGUCAGAAGCGCCAAAAAACAAAAACAAAAUAUCAAACCAAGCUGUCAACGGAGAUUUGUCUGACAAGGUACCCAGACAGCACAUGUACGUCUGGCCGACGUCGGCCCAAUAUCGAAACGUCGGCCUCUAUACCUAAAACAUCUAUAAAACAUCGGCCUGGCGGAGGCCGAUAUCAUUUGGUCAGUGCUCUGUUCUCCAGCUCAUCAGUCGUCGGCCCUGAGUUGGUUCACGACCGCGGGCCGAUGCCGCGCUUAUCUGUGUGCGCGUGCCCAGUAUUCGUCUCUUUUAGCCACCCAGAGAGAGAGAAGAGGAUAAUCCCAGCGACAUCUGUGGCUCUGAGGCUUCCAGAAAUAAUCCGGUGAAAUAAUAUGAUGUUUGUUUGUGUGAAUGCUGUGUGUGCGGUGAGUCCUGCGCGAGCGGGGAGCAGAGUUG